AAUUAAAAUGUCAAUUGUUCUUGAACAAUUGAGAGGUCUUUCCUUUUGUAAUGUAAAAUACAUGUUCCAAUAGACGUAGAAUGUAUUGAAAAGUUCUUACACAGGUUAUGCCCCUUACAGAAAGGUCAAAUCUCUUCGGUCAAAUGUAAAAAAGUUGCGCCUCAUCCACCUCAACGUUUUUCACUAUUUACUAUUUCUGUAAGUACAAUCGUUUUUGAGAUAUCGACUAAAAAAUUGUAAGGUAAAGGUCAAGGUCAACCUUAAAAAGCUUUAAAACACACUGAAAAUCCUUUAAAUAAGGUCAAAAACACAUAAUUCGCUAUAUUGGACAUGACCUUGACCUUUGAC
rnacentral:lncRNA from 1 species